UCGGGGGUCUAUAUUCACUGUAUCCACUGUAUUCACUGUAGUCACUGUUUUGUCCUUACAAGACGUAUCUUUCAUUUGAUACUGUCUGGGGUCUGUAUUCACUAUAUUCACUGUAGUCACUGUUUUGACCUUACAAGACGUCUCUUUCAUUUGAUACUGUCUGGGGUCUGUAUUCACUGUUCUGACCUGACAAAACAUAUCUUUCAUUUGAUACAGUCUGGGGUCUGUCAUUCACUGUUUUAGACCUUACCAGCUGUACCUUUCAUUUGGUACUUUCUGGGGUCUGAGUCUCUACUUGUUAAACUGAACCAGGCGUGUCGUUAGUUCGAUACUCCCCUGGAGUCUAUGAUUCCUUGCCUUAGUCAGUAGUCCUCACUGCUGAGGCAUAUGAUGUUCCCUGAGACGUUUGCUUUCCUCAAUAAUCAAAUUCAGUAUUUUGAUAAUGAUAUCAACUUAGGGAAACUACUUUUACCACACAACACUGACCAGUCUUGGUAGAAGGCUGCUUUGUCAAAGAAAAUAUAGGAUUUUCUGGAAAGAACUCUAAUACACAGUAAACACUUAAACUUCUGCUUUAUAAAGUUAUUUGAAUAAACGUCACUAAAUACUUAUGAACUCACCAGCAUUUGUAAAAAUGCUGAUACUCGCUUUUCAAAUAACUUGUAUUCUCAGGUCAAAGAUUAGACAGGUACUUCCCCGGAGCGGUUGAUGAAGAUAACUUAGUACCACGCUGUAUUUAUUCUAUUACCUGUAUUACUUUGAUGUAUUAAUGUAACCAUGUAAAACUAUUACUAUUAAUGCAAUGUUUUGUUGUACUUUGAUUACUAUAAUGCAUGUGUUGUGAUACUUGACAUGACGUCAUCCACCCAGGACGUUUCCGCCGUUUCCGGUUUUGGGGUGUGACAGAUUGGUAUCAGAGCAUUGUUUAUAGUGAGCUAAGUAUAUCAAUUCAUAAAAGAUAUACAACCUAUAAACACAAAGGGAUAAAACACUCUGACCAAGAAUUAUACUUUAAAAUAUAACCAUAUUUUACCAAAGUAUAAUAACAUCCAGAAUCUAAACACUUGAACAAAAGUAUCACAAGAAGAACAAUAAUAAAAGUCUUCGGACGUUGAGCACUACAGUCAAACCUAGGCAGUUAUGUAAUCGUAAGCUGGAAUAAAUGUAACCUGAUCAACUACAUUUAUCCGAGAUGCGAUGAACGUGUGCUUGGGAGUGAUAGUGGCGUACAACAUGUCUGAAACUUACCAAUUAGGGUGCUAGAGCAAAACAUAAAGUUAAAAUACUGUAGGAGUAUUUUUGAAUGCUAAAAGAUUCACACUAAUCCCAUAAUCAUAUUCAGAAGAUAAGAAUCAAACAAGAAUUAAAAUACCAUAGGGGUAUUUUAGGAAUNCGUGAAUAACUAAAAGAUCCUUAUUGACAUACCUACAACUACAGAGGGUGUACUCCCAAGGGUAUAUAUAUAAUAAGGAUCCCAUAAGCUAAGAAUGUGUGGUUUCGCCCUAUUUCCUUUUCCUUGUUUGGAUGUGGAUCUAGAGUAGUAUCACAUAUUCGAAGGCCUAUCGGAUCUAAGCUAUAUAUGAUUUGUAUACCCUGUGUAAUUGUAGCAGGACUCGAUAUGGAUCAUACAGUGAAAUGUUAAUAAUCUCUUGGGACUCUUUAGACAUUUCCAUUCUCGCGCGAACCCUGUAGACAACCCUACCCACUUCAGUGCUUGACAGAAGAGUUGACGUCGACCCCGAAGAAGUUCAUUGAGAAGAUUUCCUGUUCGGAAAUAAAUGAACUGGGUCGAGACUAUUGAAUGCACCAAGUGCCCAUAUUCUUUUAGGGACAUCAGUGAGGAAUUCGCCUAAACUUCGGAGAUUCCCAGUCAUCCAUCAUGAAGUGAUGACACCCAGAGUUGGAAUCAGACGGAAGGCGGAGUAGAAAUUCAAUAUGUCCAUACGAGAAGAGAACCCUAGGAAACUAACCGAAGGAAACCAACGCUGAUUCCAAUCAAAGACACGAGGCAGUCCGAGGGAGCCAGUACAUGGAGCCUGGGAAUUGUCUCUUCCUCGUGUUCUUCAUGCUAACACACCCAUAAAAUAAUACAAUUUAGUGAGUUAGUGGUUACACUACUCACGCUAUGUGUUAGGUAAGUCGUUGAUUCCCGUUGCCAGUUACACGAUUAGGGCGGGUCCCCGCACCUUAUUGAGAGUGCUUAGCCAUGAGCUUUCAUGAGCCUCUCUUUCUGCAGUUCGUUCCGAACCAUCCUCAAAUCUCUCCAGGCCGGAGAGUGAAACCUUUCCCCAGUAUAAAAGGUAACUUAGUAGGAACGACUCGCAUCUUAUGGCCUUAUCCGAUACUCAUACUCCUACCUUGAUUACCAGGACUACAUCAUAGGGAUGUAGGUCGACAUUCAGACAACCAGUACCUAAGGCACGGAAAAAAAUUUAUGCCUAAUUCGAUCAGGACAGAAAUGUCCAGGGUUAACCAUCGUCUCUCAUUGCCUUGUAUUCCUUUCCGUGUAGGAAAACCAUGCCACCGAAGAAGCAUAAUCAGUCCGNAAGCAAGAAACCUGCCCUCUUAUUCGAUGAAGCUACGUUCCAAGCUGCAGUCUCAGCAGCCGUAGCAGCUGUCAUGGCUCACCUGAAUGCUAACACCGCCAAUGUUAGCAAGGGCCCGGUCGGGAUUUCCAAUCCUGGCAAUGGACAGCAGCAACCAACACUUCCAUACUCAGCCACCCAAGAACCUCACUCAAAGCCACUAAAGAGAAAACUCAAGAUAAAGGUGGGAAGUACCUCGGCUCAAGGACCUUCCGAAAGGCAACGAGCUGAGGCAGUCUAUACCCCUGUCAACCCUUCCCUCCCAACUCCAAGAAGACCGUAUCUAGGAGACCUCCCCCACUGCAGCAAGUGCAGCUACCAUCAUUAUGGGGUCUGCCGAGAGCUCUAUUGUGCUAGGUGCCACAUGUUGGGGCAUACUGCUCGCGUCUGCAGAACCCCGGUUGAGUUCAUUACAUCAACCACCAAUGUGGCGACCCGUACAGUUUGCCACCUAUGUGGUAAAAUGGGACACUUCAAGAAGGACUGCCCAACCGAAGGGAAAGACAAAGACACAGGAGGAGUCUAACUCUAAUGCUUAGGGAGAAGCAUCAAGGAACCUGGUAGAUUUUGGUACGUCUCUCGAUCCCAGAUAACUAACGCAAAACAUUAAAAGGCUAAUUCAAUGUAAAUACUUCCCCAUUAAGGCGAAAGUCGCAGCACUGUUAUAAAAUUUAAAAUUCAUUAGGUAAAACUAUAAUGGCUAAACAUAUACGUUACGGCCAUGUAUAUUUAAGAUGGACAGACCUAGAGUGAGCGAAUGCCGCCUCAUUUCCUGUUCCUCGUUUGGUUGUGGAUUUAGGGCGGGGUCGCUCAGUCAACAGUCCUCCCCACCUUAAAUAUACAUGACUAGUAUAUGUGAGGCGAUUAUAGAAAUGCCUUGUGGGAAUUCAUUCAUGAAAAGAUACUCUAUUCGGAAACACUUAGAACUCUUUAUAUUUCCACGUCGACUCUAUCAGUCCAGGUAUCCGCGGUAGUGAUACAUAGGACGAAACCCGAGACGCCUAGAACUUGUGUGCCUGUUUGGCACAUGACUCUAUCGAUCUUCAUUAUAUAUCAUGUGGAAGUAUGCCAACUUCGACAACUCUAUUGGUCAUGGUUUGACUUCGUGCAACCAUGUGUACAUCCUUAGUGCUGUGUAAAAAGAACUUUCUCCAUAGCCAUGUCGGCAAAUAAAGGUUCUUCCGAACCUAACCCUAACACAAAUAAUCAAACCUAAUGUGAUCCGUCAAUCGUCCCUCUUAUCUCAAACCUUCCGAAGUACCCAGGGGAGGGUACCAUACACUGUUGACCGACCCCUCGUAGUCAGAUAAACACCGAAACGAAAGACACUGCAGAUACUUCAAGAAACGACAACCAUCCGAGGCAUACCUCUUAGAUUCCCUCGGGAGAUCCUACGCACCUCGCACAUCAGGUUCGUGAACCCAGAGAAUCGAACUCACGUGGCUGACCACUAUAACCAGGUAUACGCUGGCAUACAUCGAGUAUUGGCGGUUAAGCCAAGCCUGAGUUCUACCACGAACCUCUUAGCAAAACACCUUCACCCUAUUCCAUAACAUAGGAGCCAGAGUCAAGAAAAUCUCUGCGAUUUGAGCAAGUAAAGUCCUGAGUGAUGAACCAUGUACCCACUAGGUUUGACCUAGAUCGAGAAAACUCAGAACCAUCGGAAGAGUAGUUGCAAUGGAUGCUCUAACUACUCAGGCACCUUGCCCACCCUGUUAUAGACAGGUAGUGCCUAUCAUCCUCCACCCUCUUGCAUGGAGGAAAUCAUCGUCGCCCUGUAGACGAUGAAAUACAUUCUCCGAAGUGAACACUAGGAUACCGAGAACCACACGAUAACCUUCGCAGUCAAGAAGAAUUGGUCAAGUGUGAAAGUAGUUGCGUUAAAUCUCAUGACCCGGAUCCCGAAGAGAUCAUAGGCUUGACACCAGCCCUUGGUGUUAGUCGAAGAGUUAUGCAGGAACAUGCACUUUCCACGCUAGAAUAAAACCACAGUCUUAGAGAUUUGUUGGACUAUUAGGUGUUCCACGAAUACCAUCUCACAUAGAGAUAGUGGAACCACCUCCCGAGGUAGUCCAACACUCGUCUGGUGAAACCCUAUAUUCCCGACCUUCGGGGUUUUCGCAUCUCAAGCUUCGUUAGUGCAGGUUCUUUUUGCACAAGCUGAGAUGAACACUCUACAGCAAACCGAUAACCAUAGCCUCACAACCCACUCAACGAUCUAGAAAGUCUCUAUCAGCCAGUUGACAGAAAACACGAAAUCGAAGACCACCCGAGCUUUCUAAGAACUAACUUGAAGGACUACACAUCCAGUACAAGUGAGAACGAUAGGAACUUUGGAAUGGCGAUCACGCCAGUGAUAAUCUUGCCAUAGAAGUACACUAUGUCCCUAUUACUGGAAAGCUCUACUCCUUUUCGAGAGCUUAGGACCAUCCGAGAAUCCUCAUGGAGACAUGGUCCAACCCUUUUCAGGCGACUACAACUUUCGGAUAUACCAUAAGAUUCACAUUCGAUCGAUCCACUUCUUAAACUUGAUACGUGAUUCCCCGAUAACACUUUUUGUGCCUUACACAUCUUGAUAGAAACCAUUGAGGACCCUGACUUCAUAAAUAUACCAGUUGGAACCCACUAACUGCACUAGACGGAAUCCGCAUCCCGUACAUGAAGGUCUGUCGGAAUGACAAACACAGACUAGAGUUCACUUGGGAAUGCGAGGACAACCGUAUAGGAAGUACCCUCUUACCUCUACUUGUCUAUUCAUACCUACUUCCUUGCCUAGACUUGAAUUUCGGGGCGAAAUUCCCUCUAACGGGGGGAUGAUGUGACAACCCAAGUUGUCCCAUUACAUUUCCCCGUUACCGUUAACGGAAUAUUCCACUGUAUAAAAGUUCCGUUAAUUAGAAGUCGUCAAUUUAAUAAACAUCCUAAUUGUUUAAAAAUGCUGUUAAGUCGUGAUAAAAGGAAAUAAAACACAUAACACAUAUUUCCAUUUAUUUGGAAAUGUUAAGUUUUAUUAUUAGGGCCACUAAAUCGGGUGCGACCAAAAGCCCCGUUUACCGGCAGUAUUGGGUAGAAUUCCACUGAGCCCCGACUCAAAACCCUAUAUAAGGGUGAGUGGAGUCCAUUGGAGACUUUCUACACUCUCUCUCUAUACUCUCUCUCUAGACUCGUUUUAGCCCCGAAUCCACAACCAAACGCUUCCAAAUUGAAAGUUUGCUUACCCUAGCUUAUUCUAAACAUAUUGAUUUGUGUUUAUAGCCCAAAAAUCGGACUUAGAAGCUAUGGAAAAGGAGUUUACGGCCUAAGCUCCUCCUUAGGCCGUGAACACCCAAACAAGGCCAAAAUGACCCAAAUUUGUCCCUAAUGGCUUAGAAAUAAAUUGAGGUAUUAGCCUAGGAGUGUUUAAACAUUAAAACUCAUGGAUUUAGGGGGUAAAAGAGAGUUUACAGCCCAAGCACAAGCUUAGGCCGUAAACCCCUCAAAACAUUGUUAAAAUGCCUCCAAAAACUCCCAAACCACCCUAGGGCUUAACACAUAAUUUAGGGACUUAGUAUCUUGGGUUUAACACAAUUAAACACAAUGAAAUGAUAGGGAAAAAGGAGUUUAUGGCCAGGUAUAUACCAAGGCCAUAAACACCCCUAAAUGUGCCCAAAAGUGUGAUUUUUGCUCCCCAAAUGGCCUUAGACAUUUACCAUAAAAUACUAGGAAGGAUUCAAGGACUUAAACACAAGAAAUGGAGGGAUUAAAAGGAGUUUACGGACCAAGCAAUUUUCUAGGCCGUAAACUCCCCAAAACUAAUUCAAAUGAUAGAUUUAAUCCCCCAAAAUAGCAUCACACUUCAUUAGAAAUCACUAGAAAGGCAUUAGGGACUUUAAACUUCACAAAACUCUAAGGAUGAGAUUUUGCGGCUGUAAACUCCCAUAGGAGUGUCCCUAGGCCGUAAAGUCCUAUAAAGUGCCCUUAGAAGCCUUAAAACCACUCAUGCCUUNAAGUACUUAGAAUAAUCCAAUGAACAAGUAGAAGCCUUAAAACACACUAGAUACCCUCACGAUGAGUUUACGGCCGUAAACUCGUGGUGAGAUGUCCCUGGGCCGUAAACACAACUUUGGGAGUUUACUCUCGGAUAAUAAUCUCCAUUCCUAAGCCAUACGCACCUUUAGACGCUACCCGGGACACCCAAACACUUAUCCAAAGUGUUUUCUGCUCCUUUGAGCGCGUAUAUUUUUUUAAUUAGUAUUAAAUAUACUAAUUUUAUGUGAACAUAUGUAAUCAUAUGUUAAAUAGGUCAUUGUGUGUGUUCAAGUCCUUGCGUGACACCGAACGCCCAAACGACACCUUCGUCGGACCUACUUACACCAGGUGAGUUCAUACCCCUGAAUGAACCUUUUACUGCUUUUAAAUGUUUUUAUAGGGGGGGAUUACAAGUUAAACAUGCCAGUUAUCAUAUCAAUCACAUGUGAUUGAUAACCUGCAUGCACAAGAUUUUACCACUUUACACUGUUGUACUGAGUAGAACACUAUAAUGAUUUUUACUUAUUUCAUAACUUUUACUUAUACUGAUUUAUCCAAAUUCAUUCUAAAUUGGUUUAUGAAAGAUUCUCUAAGGUUUUUAAAACAUAUUUUACAAAAGAAUACAAAUUGUGAUUUUCUCUAUACAUAAAGGCUUUUCAUCAAAGAUUCCCUUUUUCGACAUAUACUUUUACUUGUUAAUUAUUGGCGCUUCGCUUAUACUCAUUUUAUACUCCUACUCGGUAACGCUUUCACUUAUACUUGUAGUCGCUUAUACCUGAUGACACUUAUACUUAUUCACGCUCUUACUUAGUGAUACGACUCUACUUCAAUUAUACUUGAUACGCUUUUGCUUCACUUAGCGUCGCCUCUACUUCGUGAUGCGCUUAUACUUGUUCGACACUUCUACUUCACUUACGACCNCUGUUCUGACCUGACAAAACAUAUCUUUCAUUUGAUACAGUCUGGGGUCUGUCAUUCACUGUUUUAGACCUUACCAGCUGUACCUUUCAUUUGGUACUUUCU
rnacentral:lncRNA from 1 species